UCCCCACAUGGAGGGGAUUGUCGUCGAGUACUCCGGAGUGUCGUGCGACUAGGACCACUUGGAGGUCCGGACCACAUGGAGGUCCGCAGACGGUCCCGGGCUUGGGUGCACUUGGAGCUCCCUCCCCACUUUGGGAUUGAAAGGUGAGUUAUUGGCGAACCCUAGGGCUUCGCUACAGAUUGGGUAAAAGAACAGUGAACAAUGUCAUUGAACAUUAUUAUUCGAACAUGGAUCGAAUUCGUUAGCAUGAUAGUAAACCUUUACUAUUUGAUGCAUGGUAUGAGUUUUAGUUGCAUCCCAGUUGAGUGGAUUUAGGGCUGAGGUGCAUGUGAGACAUCCUUCACCUUGAGCCUGGCUUUGUGCGGUAUUCCGCGUAUGAUUGACUCAAGACCGAGUCGAGUGGAUAGCUUAUAAAAGCAGGUUAAACCCUAUGAGCAGAAUUGUAAUUGACAAGAAUCUAAGAUAGAGGAAAACUUAGAAGUCAAUUGGUUGAACUGUGAAUAACAGGAAUAAAAGUAGUAUCGAUUGAACUACUAGUUGGUUGCAUGGUUGCAUAAACUGCAUGAAUUUCAUAUUGCAUUUUGUGAGGCACAACAUGUAUUUCAAUACUUGAAUAUAUAUAUCUGUUGGAUAUCUGUUGGACUAACAUGUUGCAGGGCCUCCUUAGACCUAUUGGUCGAGCUUUUCCCUUGGGUGGCCGUACCCACUGGGAACCAUGGAGUUGGUUCUCACCCCACGUUGUUUUGGGGUGUUACAGGUUCGCACGUGAGCGGCGCGGCGGCGCAAGGCGAGGGCGUAGCUCCAUAGAUAGCGCCCUACCCCAGAGACCAGAGAUAGAGGUACCCCGAGUCGGCAUAGCCUAGGGGUAGAGGGAAAAGAAAAAGAGCAAACUUGUAAUAAUAUUGCGAUCAUUGAUUGUAUUUGGAAGAAAAUGUAAUGUAAUAAUGCUAAUGUGAUGUAAAAAAUGAAUCUAAUGGGAAUGCUUGUAAUAACAUAGGAUGUGUUAUGUUGUUUGAUACCUUCCUUAUGCAAUCUUGCUUGAAUACUGUUCCUGGUUGGAACUUCUUGUACUUGUAUUGAUUGCGACGCCUAGGACGUACAGGGG
rnacentral:lncRNA from 1 species